rnacentral:snoRNA from 1 species
AGCCUCAUUAUAGAUGAAAAUGGGCACUGUUCUUCACAGUGUCCAGAAAUAAUUAAUGUGGCUACAUUGAGACAGAGGUUAUGCUUCCAUCACAGUAAGUUUAUUGCAGUGAUGACAAUGAGAUCUGUAACAUUU